GUGCUGCAAUAUAAAGUCUAUAACGACUCUCGGCAACGGAUAUCUCGGCUCUCGCAUCGAUGAAGAACGUAGCGAAAUGCGAUACUUGGUGUGAAUUGCAGAAUCCCGUGAACCAUCGAGUCUUUGAACGCAAGUUGCGCCCUAAGCCUUCUGGCCGAGGGCACGUCUGCCUGGG
rnacentral:rRNA from 1 species